rnacentral:SRP_RNA from 1 species
GCCGGGCGUGGUGGCUCAUGCCUGUAAUCCCAGCACUUUGGGAGGCUGAGGCGGGUGGAUCACCUGAGGUCGGGAGUUCAAGACCAGCCUGACCAACAUGGAGAAACCCCGUCUCUA